rnacentral:hammerhead_ribozyme from 1 species
AUCCAACUGACGAGUCCCAAGUAGGACGAAAUGUGCGUUAUCCCGGAU